GAUUCAUUGAUUUCGGUUAAUGAAGCUUAUUUUAACAUCACAGCGAAAUCUCACCGGACACGACAGCCGAGGGAACGACGACGACAACGAAUAGCGAAAUCCAGCGAAGGCAUUACACAGGUGCUGAUGUUCACUUUAGUGCAUUUCUGGAGAAAACCACAACACUGACAGCCAGUCAAAGAGAAAGAGGAGGGUUUUGCUUGAAGUGACUGUGAACGGAUGUCAGUGUUGGUCUGAUAUCAUUGAGCAGCAGGAUGGAGGAAACGUCUCUGCUGUGUCUGCUCUUUCUGAUCUCACUGCUGAGCUGCACCACAAACCAAGGUCAGUAACCUUCUUCUGUCACACUGGUUAAGGUAUGAAAUGUAAUAUGGGCCCUGAUCU